rnacentral:rRNA from 1 species
CCUACGGGAGGCAGCAGUGGGGAAUAUUGCACAAUGGGGGAAACCCUGAUGCAGCGACGCCGCGUGAGCGAUGAAGUAUUUCGGUAUGUAAAGCUCUAUCAGCAGGGAAGAAAAUGACGGUACCUGACUAAGACGCCCCGGCUAACUACGUGCCAGCAGCCGCGGUAAUACGUAGGGGGCAAGCGUUAUCCGGAUUUACUGGGUGUAAAGGGAGCGUAGACGGUCCUGCAAGCCAGAUGUGAAAGCCCGGGGCUCAACCCCGGGACUGCAUUUGGAACUGUAAGGCUAGAGUGUAGGAGAGGCAGGCGGAAUUCCUAGUGUAGCGGUGAAAUGCGUAGAUAUUAGGAGGAACACCAGUGGCGAAGGCGGCCUGCUGGACGAUGACUGACGUUGAGGCUCGAAAGCGUGGGGAGCAAACAGGAUUAGAUACCCCAGUAGUC